rnacentral:rRNA from 1 species
GUCCACGCCCUAAACGAUGUCAACUGGUUGUCGGGGAAGCAAUUCCUUGGUAACGAAGCUAACGCGUGAAGUUGACCGCCUGGGGAGUACUGCCGCAAGGUUAAAACUCAAAGGAAUUGACGGGGACCCGCACAAGCGGUGGAUUAUGUGGAUCAAUUCGAUGCAACGCGAAAAACCUUACCUACCCUUGACAUGUACGGAACCCCGCAGAAAUGCGGGGGUGCCCGAAAGGGAGCCGUAACACAGGUGCUGCAUGGCUGUCGU